rnacentral:rRNA from 1 species
CCCUUAGAUGUUCUGGGCCGCACGCGCGCUACAAUGAUGAAUUCAACGAGUUUAUAACCUUGGCUGAAAAGCCUGGGUAAUCUUUUGAACUUUCGUCGUGAUGGGGCUAGACCCUUGCAAUUAUUGGUCUCCAACGAGGAAUUCCUAGUAAACGCAAGUCAUCAGUUUGCAUUGAUUACGUCCCUGCCCUUUGUACACACCGCCCGUCGCACCUACCGAUUGAAUGGUCCGGUGAAAUCUUCGGAUUGAGACUUUGAUUUCUUCACGGAAAACGCUGUUUUAAGAAGUUGAUUAAACCUUACCAUUUAGAGGAAGGUGAAGUCGUAACA